rnacentral:rRNA from 1 species
GACGAACGCUGGCGGCGUGCUUAACACAUGCAAGUCGAGCGGUAAGGCCCUUUCGGGGGUACACGAGCGGCGAACGGGUGAGUAACACGUGGGUGACCUGCCCUCAGCUCUGGGAUAAGCCUGGGAAACUGGGUCUAAUACUGGAUAUGACUCCACGGUGCAUGUCGUGGGGUGGAAAGCCUUGUGCGGCUGAGGAUGGGCCCGCGGCCUAUCAGCUUGUUGGUGGGGUGANGGCCUACCAAGGCGACGACGGGUAGCCGGCCUGAGAGGGCGACCGGCCACACUGGGACUGAGACACGGCCCAGACUCCUACGGGAGGCAGCAGUGGGGAAUCUUGCGCAAUGGGCGAAAGCCUGACCCAGCAACGCCGCGUGAAGGAUGAAAUCCCUCGGGAUGUAAACUUCGCAAGAACGGGAAGAAUAAGUAGGGGACAAUACCCCCUAUGAUGACGGUACCGUUUGUAAGCUCCGGCUAACUCCGUGCCAGCCGCCGCGGU